rnacentral:tRNA from 1 species
GGAUUGUAGCUUAGUGGUAGAGCACUUGCCUAGCAUGUGUGAGGCACUGGGUUCAAUCCUCAGCACCA